GACGAACGCUGGCGGCGUGCCUAAUACAUGCAAGUAGAACGCACAGUUUAUACCGUAGCUUGCUACACCAUAGACUGUGAGUUGCGAACGGGUGAGUAACGCGUAGGUAACCUGCCUGGUAGCGGGGGAUAACUAUUGGAAACGAUAGCUAAUACCGCAUAAUAUUAAUUAUUGCAUGAUAAUUAAUUGAAAGGUGCAAUUGCACCACUACCAGAUGGACCUGCGUUGUAUUAGCUAGUAGGUGAGGUAACGGCUCACCUAGGCGACGAUACAUAGCCGACCUGAGAGGGUGAUCGGCCACACUGGGACUGAGACACGGCCCAGACUCCUACGGGAGGCAGCAGUAGGGAAUCGUCGGCAAUGGACGAAAGUCUGACCGAGCAACGCCGCGUGAGGGAAGAAGGUUUUCGGAUCGUAAAGCUCUGUUGUAAGAGAAGAACGGGUGUGAGAGUGGAAAGUUCACACUGUGACGGUAUCUUACCAGAAAGGGACGGCUAACUACGUG
rnacentral:rRNA from 1 species